AUUUCAAAAAGAUGCUAAUCGAAGAAAAUGAUAGACAGAAAUGAAAGAGAAAAAAGGAUUCCAAAAUAGAUUGAAAAAAUAGAACGGCUACACUCUUCUUCCAGGAUCGCGCAGUCGUCAUGGGUCAUUGGAUGGAAAAUG
rnacentral:rRNA from 13 species